rnacentral:lncRNA from 13 species
GUCUUUCAUUCAAUGCAGACUGUUUCCUAAGUUUUUACAUCAAAAUCUGGAAGAGUCAGCUGCUGAUCCUCUCCCCAAGAAGAUGAAAGAUUCAGUGGUUCAUCUGGGUUGCUCCACAUGACACUGUUUCAUCAUUUUGGUGGCUGAAGAAUAUUCCCUAGUGUAUGCAUAUGAAAGUUUCUUAAUCCCUUUGUGGAUGGACAGGCUGGAGUGCACUGGCCCAAUCUUCGUUCACUGCAACCUCGGCCUCCUAAGUUCAAGUGAUUCUUCCUCCUCAGCCUCUGGAAUAUCUGGGACCACAGGUGAGUGCCACCACGUCUGGGUAAUAUUUUUGUAUUUUUAGUAGAGAUGGGAUUUCACCAUGUUGGCCAGGAUGGUCUCGAUCUCUUGACCUCAUGAUCCACUGGUCUUAGCCUUCCAAAGUGCUGGGAUUCUAGGAAUGAGCCAUCUCGCCUGGCUUUUGUUUAUUUAUUUACAUAAUUACUGAUUUAUUUACUUAGAGGCAGGAAGGCCUGCUUGCAUUUAUUUAUUUAUGUUUUUAUUUAGUAAGUUAAUUAUUUUCAUUUUAUUAUUUUUAUAAAUAGAGAUAGGGACUUUUUCACCAUCUUGGCCAGGCUGGUCUUGAUGUCCUGACCUCAGGUGGUAUUGCUGGCUGAAGCUCCCAAUGGGCGGGGUAUUAAAAACAUGAACCACCAAGUGGGGCUGCUUAUUUAUUGAUUUAAUUUAUCUAUUUAUCUAUGAUUUAUUUGGAGGCAGAGUUGCAUUUAUUUAUUGAAUUAUUUGCUGGCAUACUAAUGGAGAAGCAGGUCGAAUUUAUUUAUUUAUUUAAAUAUUUGGAGACAGGCUUGGAUUUAUGUAUUUAUCUAUCUAGCUAGCUGAUUAUUUAGAGGCAGGCUCACAUUUACUCAAUUAUUUUAUUUAGACCCAGGCUCACAACAUUAUUUUUAUACUUCUAUAUUUGUGUUCAGGCUUGCAUUUAUUCAUUUUCUUAACUAUCUGUAUAA